UUUUGUGCCUGAAGGAAAGGGCCCCUUAGUACGAGAGGAACGGGGGCUCGCAGCCACUAGUUUACCAGUUGUCCGACAGGGCAUUGCUGGGCAGCCACGCUGCAAGGGAUAAGAGCUGAAAGCAUCUAAGCUCGAAACCCACCCCGAGACGAGGCACUUUGACGCCCGUAGAAGACGGGAUGAUAGGACCGGGGUGUACGCACCGAGAAUUAUAGUGGUGCCAGAAACCGCUUCGGUGGCGGAAGGUACCACUUCGAGGUGUUCAGCCCGCCGGUUACUAAGAGUUAUUACUGCUAUCAGG
rnacentral:rRNA from 1 species